rnacentral:rRNA from 1 species
UACGGGGGGCAAGGCGUUGUUCGGAAUUACUGGCGUAAAGGGCUCGUAGGCGGCCAACUAAGUUCAGACGUGAAAUCCCUCGGCGUUAACCCGGGGAACUGCGUCUGAUACUGGAUGGCUUGAGGUUGGGAGAGGGGGAUGCGGAAUUUUCCAGGUGUAGCGGUGAAAAUGCGUAGAUAUCUGGAGGAACACCGGUGGCGAAGGGCGGCAUCCGUGGACCCAAUUUCGUGACGCUGAGGGAGCGAAAGCGAUGGGGAGCGAACGGAGGGAAUUGAUGAU